ensembl:lncRNA
GAUAAGGUUACCUUGAAGCACCCCAGCACUUUUCUCGUCCCACACCCAUGUGAGGCACCAAUAACAUGGGCUAAAUUACCAGCACCUAUUUGCUGCAUCCCCUGCCAGAGCCUGUACUCCCCUGUUUAUGGCCCUGACCUAACAUCCCAUUCUCCCCCAGCCAUGAUCCCAAAUCCGGCACUUUGAAAACCCUCAUCCCGCUUUUCUCACGAGACUGUGGAGCUUCACCCGUGGAUUGGAUGGGGACGACAAAGAGGAACAUCUUUUCCUGAGUGGGAUUUAAGAUCACCUGGGUGAAACCGUCCAAAUAAGAUUACACAAGCAAAAUCAAAGGACAUUCGGCUGAAGUACCACCAUGGCUCAGGCAACUAAAGGUCCCGCAGUGAAGCCCAUCUCUCCCACCUCUGUAGAUGACCCGACUAGGGCAGCACACCCAGACUCACUUACAGCCCGGAGCCAUGGAAUUUUACGAAUCAUGAAUCGCCCGGCACAAUGGGUGGUCAUCAUCACACUUCUGAUCUCUUGGUCAAUAGCAGGUGUUGUCAUGUUUGACUUUGUCAGUGACGAUCAGAUUGCAAGCAUCCAAGAUUUCGGCUCUGAUCCAGUGCUAGCAGUGAACAAAGCCAUUGAAGUCAUUGAAAACAGGAUAAAUCAUAUGAAUGACAUGUUUAAUGAUGCUCAAGAGUACGUCACUGAAAUAAUAUUUAAUCCGGUGGAAGCUAUUAGUUCAACUGCUGACUCAUCUGUGUCUUAUCUGUCAGGAAUAUUUAGUGCCGAUGGAGAUUUAGGAAUCACUGAAACAGUGAAAUAUGGGGGCACUGUAUUGGAUGAGGCUACAGAAUGGAUCAGAUCCCCAGUGAGCUACGUAUUCCACUUAUUUGAAGACAUUUUGGAUAUAGUGGUUGCUCCAGUGGAUAUGGUCAGUGAAGCUCUUGUGCAAAUGUUAAGUGGGAUCAAGACUGUUAUACUUUAUAUUUCCUCCAUGUUUGGGGGCAUUGAAGGGUACACAGGCAUCACUGAAACAGUGAACCUUGGUGGCACUGUACUGGAUGAGGUUACUGACUGGAUUAGAUUCCCAGUGGCCUACUUAUUCCAUUUAUUUGAAGAUAUCCUGGAUGUAGCAAUCAUUUAUCCAGCAGACAUUGCCAGUGAAGCAGCUCUGCAAAUUUUAAGUGGGAUCAAGAACAUUUCUUCAACCAUAUUCGGGAACCUUGAAGCUUGGUUUCCCAAAACGAGCACUGAUCCUGCAGGGCUGGCUGAAAUAGUUGUAGAGGAGGCUGCAGAAGUAAAGACCACCGUUUCUAAUUACCUAUCCAGUCUGUUUGCAGCGGAUGAAGGUGGUAUUUCUGACAUUAGCUUUGAUCCCAUGAAAGUUGUCACAGACACUGUUGAGGAGUUUGCUGACAGGAGGGAUAUGUUCUUGGCUUAUCUCUCAAACAUGCUCAUGGAAGACAAAGAUGACACACCGCAAGUGGUAAGACGAAAAGGAGAAUUUCUGCCCCCUAUGGAAAAAGUUGCAGAAAUACUAGGCAAAACACAGGACCCUGCCUAUGCUGCCUACAUUGCUGUGAGAUCCACAGACAGUACUAAACAGGAAAUAAAAGAGGUAGAAGCCGAUGAAGAUACAACUGAAAAAGCUCAAGAUGUUGUGGACGUUCCAAAGGAUGAAGGGAUGGUUGAAACGGCUUUGGGCAGCUCUGAUGUCACAAUUGAAGACGAUGAGGUUGCCUCCGAUGACAUGGAGGAGGAUAAAACUGCUGGAACAGUUGAAGAUAUUGCAGAUGUCACAGAAGAGGAACCUUCUGUUAUGCAAGAAGACAUAGAUGGGGAAACAGAACCUGAAAAGUUUGAGGUUAUCUCUGAUUUUGCAGAGGACGACUCAACUGAUAUGACUUCUGAUGCUACAGAUGUGAAGGACAUAGAUGAUACCUCAGAUUUUGCAACAGCAGGUGAUGAAGUUACUGAAACAGUUGAAGAUAUUUUGGAUGUUACAGAAGAGGAACUUUCUGAUAUGGCAGAAGUCAUGGAUGUUGACGCUGCCUCAGAUGAUGUUAAAGAGGAGGAAGAAGUUACUGAAACAGUUGAAGAUGCAGAUGUAACAGAGGAGGAACCAUCAGAUAUACCAGAAGUCAUAGAUGAGGAAACAGUGACUGAAAAGGUUGAAGAUAUCUCAGAUUUUGCAGAGGACAAAUCAACUGAAAUUACCGAAUCUGAUGAAUUUGAUGCUACAGAUAUGAAAGACACUGACAAUACCUCAGAUGUUGUUACAGAGGAAGAAGUUACUGAAACAGUUGAAGAUGUAGAUGUUACAGUGGAGGAAACAUCUGAUAUUCCAAAAGUAAUAGAUGAGGAAAUAACAACAGAAAAGUUUGACAAUAUCUCUGAUUUUAAAGAGGAUGAAUCAGCUGAAAUGACCUCUGAUGUGACAGAAGACACUGAUGCUGUUACAGAGGAGGAAGUAGUUACUAAAACAGCUGAAGAUAUUCCAGAUGUUACAGAGGAGGAAACAUACGACAUUCCAGAAGUCAUAGAUGAGGAAUUAGCAACUGAAAAGCCUGAUGAUAUCUUUGAAUCCAUAGAGGACGAGUCAACUAUGAUGACCUCUGAUGUGACAGAAGACACUGAUUAUACCUCAGAUGUUGUUACCGAGGGAGAAGUUAUGAAAUCAGUUGUAGAUAUUGCAGAUGUUACAGAGAAUGAACCAUCUGAUAUGCCAGAAGUCAUUGACAUUGAUGAUACCUCAGAUCAAGAUACCUCUGCAGUUACAGAGGAGAAAGAAUCAACUGAAACAAUUGAAGAAGCAGCAAUUGAAACAGCAGAAGGUACUUCCUAUGUUACAACCAAAACGGAAUUAGAUAAUACAGAUGAAAAUGAAUUUCAGAAAUACCCCAGUGUUACAGAGGAGGAGGAAGAACCUGAAAAAGUUAAAGAUACUUUUGAUUUCAUAAGUGAGGAAGAAAAACCUAAGACAGAUGAAGAUGCCAGCACUGAAGAAACAGCCAAAGAGUCACUAGAAAAAGAACCUUUAUUGGCUGAAGCUACUCCAGAUACCAUCUAUAUAAAGGAAAAUACUGAAGCAACAGAACUUGAUGAUCUUGAAGUCCUGGGUGAGGAUGACAUGAAAGUGGAAGGCAAGGAGGAGAAGGUAGAUGUGGCAAUUGCUGAUGCUGAAAGUGGUACAAAGAACCUGGAGAUUGAUUUAGAUGAAGAUGAGGUUGAGGUUUUAAAAGAGGAGACUAAAGAUCAAACUAUCUUGGGAACCACUGCUGGUGAAGAUGACAAUGAUGAUGAAGAGGAGCUUCUCCUUUCUCCUGUCCAGAAGGACCUAACAAACAGAGAUGAUGAAAAUAACAAUAACAAUGACAGAAAGAAAGAUGCCAUAAAAAGAGGCCUGAGCGGGAGAAAAACAUCAAAGAGUCAUUCCACGGAAACAGAUGACCAAGAAGCGCACACGCAUCUUCAUGGAGUUCUUGAACAAGUGAAAGAAGCCAAAGAGAAAAAAGCUAGAGAGGAGAUAUACAAAAUCAUUCAAGAUAUGAGGGAGAAGAAGGCUGAUGGUGAAGAGGAAGAGAUAACACUACAACAAAUAAACAUAACAGUAGAAAAAGUCAAGAAGAGAAAAGAACACGAGAAAAAGGAGAUAGAAAAUGCUAAAAGAAAAGAAAAAUCCAAAGAGGACAAGACUCGAGAACCAACAAGACCUGAGAAAAAGGUUAAACCAGCAAAGAAAGAUGUUGAGAUGUCCAAAGACAAAGCAUUACCUUUAAAGAAAGAAGCUGAAGUGGCCAAAAAAGAGACCAAACUAGCAUCAUCUAAGAAAGAGCCUGACGUUACAAAAGAAAAGGCCAAACCAGCUCUUUCAAAGAAAGGUAUCACAAUGCAUAUUUAAAGUCCCAUUUUGGAUGCUUUCUUUCGUUUAGAAAUAAAUCACAUUCUGCAAAGAAAGUUAGUUUCCUG